rnacentral:snRNA from 1 species
AUCGCUUCACUGCCUUUUGGCUAAGAUCAAGUGUAGUGUCUGUUCUUAUCAGUUUAAUAUCUGAUAUAUCCUCUGUCCAAAGACAAUAGGAGAUGCAAAUAUCUGUUCAGUCUGAGUCCACCAUCUGAAAGUGGGUCUCUCGUUGGGUCACUUUGGGGUAGACCAGGAGUCUCCAGACAAAGCCCACAGCAG